rnacentral:rRNA from 1 species
AGAGUUUGAUCAUGGCUCAGGAUGAACGCUGGCGGCGUGCUUAACACAUGCAAGUCGAGCGAGGCACUUUUGCAGAUUUCUUCGGAUUGAAGCAGAUUUGACUGAGCGGCGGACGGGUGAGUAACGCGUGGGGAACCUGCCCCGUACCGGGGGAUAACAGUUAGAAAUGACUGCUAAUACCGCAUAAGCGCACAGUGAGGCAUCUCACAGUGUGAAAAACUCCGGUGGUACGGGAUGGACCCGCGUUGGAUUAGCCAGUUGGCGGGGUAACGGCCCACCAAAGCGACGAUCCAUAGCCGGCCUGAGAGGGCGACCGGCCACAUUGGGACUGAGACACGGCCCAAACUCCUACGGGAGGCAGCAGUGGGGAAUAUUGCACAAUGGGGGAAACCCUGAUGCAGCGACGCCGCGUGAGUGAAGAAGUAUUUCGGUAUGUAAAGCUCUAUCAGCAGGGAAGAAGACGACGGUACCUGACUAAGAAGCCCCGGCUAACUACGUGCCAGCAGCCGCGGUAAUACGUAGGGGGCAAGCGUUAUCCGGGAUUUACUGGGUGUAAAGGGAGCGCACACGGCAUGGCAAGUCUGAAGUGAAAACCCCGGGGCUCAACCCCGUGAUUGCUUUGGAAACUGUCAGGCUAGAGUACCCGGAGGGUAAGCGGAAAUUCCUAGUGUAGCGGUGAAAUGCGUAGAUAUUAAGGAGGGAACACCGGGUGGCGAAAGCGCUUUACUGGGAACGGUAAACUGAUCGUUGAUGGCUCCGA